GGAUGCGAUCAUACCAGCACUAAAGCUCCGGAUCCCAUUAGAACUCCGAAGUUAAGCGUGGUUGGGCGAGAGUAGUACUAGGAUGGGUGACCUCCUGGGAAGUCCUCGUGUUGCAUUCC
rnacentral:rRNA from 1 species